GCAAGUCGAACGGGUGAAGACCAGCUUGCUGGUUGGAUCAGUGGCGAACGGGUGANUAACACGUGAGCAACCUGCCCUUCACUCUGGGAUAAGCCUUGGAAACGGGGUCUAAUACCGGAUAUGACAUCCUCAUGCAUGUGGGGGUGUGGAAAGAUUUAUCGGUGGGGGAUGGGCUCGCGGCCUAUCAGCUUGUUGGUGGGGUAAUGGCCUACCAAGGCGACGACGGGUAGCCGGCCUGAGAGGGCGACCGGCCACACUGGGACUGAGACACGGCCCAGACUCCUACGGGAGGCAGCAGUGGGGAAUAUUGCACAAUGGGCGCAAGCCUGAUGCAGCGACGCCGCGUGAGGGAUGACGGCCUUCGGGUUGUAAACCUCUUUCAGCAGGGAAGAAGCGAAAGUGACGGUACCUGCAGAAGAAGCGCCGGCUAACUACGUGCCAGCAGCCGCGGUGAUACGUAGGGCGCAAGCGUUGUCCGGAAUUAUUGGGCGUAAAGAGCUCGUAGGCGGUCAGUCGCGUCUGCUGUGAAAACUCGAGGCUCAACCUCGGGCUUGCAGUGGGUACGGGCUGACUAGAGUGCGGUAGGGGUGACUGGAAUUCCUGGUGUAGCGGUGGAAUGCGCANAUAUCAGGAGGAACACCGAUGGCGAAGGCAGGUCACUGGGCCGCAACUGACGCUGAGGAGCGAAAGCAUGGGGAGCGAACAGGAUUAGAUACCCUGGUAGUCCAUGCCGUAAACGUUGGGCACUAGGUGUGGGGUCCAUUCCACGGAUUCCGUGCCGCAGCUAACGCAUUAAGUGCCCCGCCUGGGGAGUACGGCCGCAAGGCUAAAACUCAAAGAAAUUGACGGGGGCCCGCACAAGCGGCGGA
rnacentral:rRNA from 1 species